UGGGGAAUUUUACGCAAUGGGCGAAAGCCUGACGUAGCGACACCGCGUGAGCGAAGAAGCCCUUUGGGGUGUAAAGCUCUGUCGGCAGGGACGAAUAAAUGACGGUACCUGCAAAGGAAGCAUCGGCUAACUACGUGCCAGCAGCCGCGGUAAGACGUAGGAUGCAAGCGUUGUCCGGAUUCAUUGGGCGUAAAGAGUUCGUAGGCGGUUUGUUAAGUCUGAUGUUAAAGAUCAGGGCCCAACCCUGAGAGUGCAUUGGAUACUGGCAGACUGGAGUGCAGUAGAGGCAAGUGGAAUUCCCAGUGUAGCGGUGAAAUGCGUAGAUAUUGGGAAGAACACCGGUGGCGCAGGCGACUUGCUGGGCUGUAACUGACGCUGAGGAACGAAAGCUAGGGGAGCAAAUGGG
rnacentral:rRNA from 1 species